UAACACGUGAGCAACCUACCCUUCAGAGGGGGACAACAGUUGGAAACGACUGCUAAUACCGCAUAAGACCACGGUGUGGCAUCACACAGAGGUCAAAGGAGAAAUCCGCUGAAGGAUGGGCUCGCGUCCAAUUAGCUAGAUGGUGAGGUAACGGCCCACCAUGGCGACGAUUGGUAGCCGGACUGAGAGGUUGAUCGGCCACAUUGGGACUGAGACACGGCCCAGACUCCUACGGGAGCAGCAUG
rnacentral:rRNA from 1 species